rnacentral:rRNA from 1 species
UAAAGCAAGAAAGGGCGUAUGGGGAAUGCCUAGGCACACUCCGGCGAAGAAGGACGCAGCAAACAGCGAAAUGCGACGGUGAGCGGUAAGCACGUGAAGAGCCGUCGAUAUCCGAAUGGGGGAACCCACACGGAGUCAUAUCCGUGUAUCACAUGUCGAAUACAUAGACAUGAUGAGGCGAGACGCAGGGAACUGAAACAUCUAAGUACCUGCAGGAAGAGAAAAUAAGAAUGAUUUUCUGAGUAGCGGCGAGCGAAAGGGAAAGAGCCCAAACCGAUCUUAGGAUCGGGGUAGUAGGAUCAUCGAUAAAUCUGACAGAGGAUCAUAGAGGAAUCACAUGGGAAGGUGAGCGAGAGAGGGUGAGAGCCCCGUACUCGAAAUGAGAGACUGGAGAGAGAUGACACCUGAGUAGGGCGGGACACGAGAAAUCCUGUCUGAAUCGGCCGGGACCAUCCGGCAAGGCUAAAUACGAGAGAGUGACCGAUAGUGAACCAGUACCGUGAGGGAAAGGUGAAAAGAACCCCGGGAGGGGAGUGAAAGAGAACCUGAAACCGUAUGUCUACAAGCAGUCGGAGCGAAAGCGACGGCGUGCCUAUUGAAGAAUGAACCAACGAGUUACGUGCACUAGCGAGGUUAAGUGGAAGACACGGAGCCGAAGCGAAAGCGAGUCUUAAGAGGGCGGAUAGUUAGUGUACGUAGACCCGAAACCGCAGUGAUCUACCCAUGUCCAGGUUGAAGCGCAGGUAAAAUUGCGUGGAGGACCGAACCUGUGAGCGUUGAAAAGCUUUAGGAUGAGAUGUGGGUAGAGGUGAAAUUCCAAUCGAACGCGGAGAUAGCUGGUUCUCCCCGAAAUAGCUUUAGGGCUAGCCUCAAGUAGUAAGUAUAGGCGGUAGAGCACUGAUCGGGCUAGGGGCCAUAAAGGUUACCGAACCCUGUCAAACUCCGAAUGGUUAUACUGUAGAGCUUGGGAGUCAGACUACGAGUGAUAAGAUCCGUGGUCAAAAGGGAAACAGCCCAGACCACCAGCUAAGGUCCCCAAUGUCGUACUAAGUGGAAAAGGAUGUGGGGUCUCUAAAACAACCAGGAUGUUGGCUUAGAAGCAGCCACCAUUUAAAGAGUGCGUAAUAGCUCACUGGUCGAGAGACCCUGCGCCGAAGAUUACCGGGGCUAAAGUACGAAACCGAAGCUGUGGCUACGACGUAAGUCGUGGGGUAGGGGAGCGUUCUGUGAGGGCUGAAGUCGUUCUGUAAGGAACGGUGGACUUCACAGAAGUGAGAAUGUUGGUAUGAGUAGCGAAAAGAAUGGUGAGAAUCCAUUCCACCGAAAGCAUAAGGAUUCCUGGGCAACGAUCGUCGUCCCAGGGUAAGUCGGGACCUAAUCCGAGGCAUGGAGCGUAGGAGAUGGACAACUGGCAGAUAUUCCAGUACCGGUAAUGAUUGUUUGAGCGAUGGAGUGACACAGGAGGGCAGGCAGGCAGGAGAUUGGUUGUUCCUGUACAAGCGUGUAGGAUGGGACGUAGGCAAAUCCGCGUCCUGUGAGUCUGAGGCGUGAUGUGGAGGUUCCGGAAACGGAACUGAAGCUGCUGACCCCACACUGUCGAGAAAAGCUUCUAGUUAGAGAAUUACCGCCCGUACCGUAAACCGACACAGGUAUGCGGGGAGAGAAUCCUAAGGUGCGCGGGAGAACCCUCGUUAAGGAACUCGGCAAAAUGUACCCGUAACUUCGGGAUAAGGGUAGCCGCUGUUGUGAAGUCUGUACAGAUGGAGCAUGAGGCGGUCGCAGAGAAGAGGCCCAAGCGACUGUUUACCACAAACACAGGUGCCUGCUAAAGAGAAAUCUGACGUAUAGGUGCUGACACCUGCCCAGUGCCGGAAGGUUAAGGAAGGAUGUCCGGAGCAAUCCAAAGCAUUCGACCGAAGCCCCGGUGAACGGCGGCCGUAACUAUAACGGUCCUAAGGUAGCGAAAUUCCUUGUCGGGUAAG